rnacentral:rRNA from 1 species
GCCUGAUCCAGCCAUACCGCGUGGGUGAAGAAGGCCUUCGGGUUGUAAAGCCCUUUUGUUGGGAAAGAAAAGCAGCCGGUUAAUACCCGGUUGUUCUGACGGUACCCAAAGAAUAAGCACCGGCUAACUUCGUGCCAGCAGCCGCGGUAAUACGAAGGGUGCAAGCGUUACUCGGAAUUACUGGGCGUAAAGCGUGCGUAGGUGGUUGUUUAAGUCUGUCGUGAAAGCCCUGGGCUCAACCUGGGAAUUGCGAUGGAAACUGGGCGACUAGAGUGUGGCAGAGGAUAGUGGAAUUCCUGGUGUAGCAGUGAAAUGCGUAGAGAUCAGGAGGAACAUCCGUGGCGAAGGCGACUGUCUGGGCCAACACUGACACUGAGGCACGAAAGCGUGGGGAGCAAACAGGAUUAGAUACCCUGGUAGUCCACGCCCUAAACGAUGCGAACUGGAUGUUGGGUGCAAUUUGGCACGCAGUA